rnacentral:rRNA from 1 species
GUCGCACCUACCGAUUGAGCGGCUCGGUGAGGGGUCCGGAUUGUUUUUAGCUCCUUUACUAGGGUCAAAAACAAAAAGUUCUCCAAACCUCGUCGCUUAGAGGAAGGUG